GCGUGUGUGAAGAAGGCUUUCGGGUUGUAAAGCACUUUCAGCAGGGAAGAUAAUGACGGUACCUGCAGAAGAAGCACCGGCUAACUCUGUGCCAGCAGCCGCGGUAAUACAGAGGGUGCAAGCGUUAAUCGGAAUCACUGGGCGUAAAGCGCGCGUAGGCGGUUUGGUAAGUCGGAUGUGAAAGCCCCGGGCUUAACCUGGGAAUUGCAUUCGAUACUGCCUGACUAGAGUAUGGUAGAGGGUGGCGGAAUUCCGAGUGUAGCGGUGAAAUGCGU
rnacentral:rRNA from 1 species